ensembl:lncRNA
GUUUGUGACUUUUUUUCUUUUAUGUGUGUGUGUUUGUGUGAACCCUGAACCUUCCAGCCUGGAGUCAAGUGUCAGGAUGACGUUAAUAAUGACUUUUUCUUCUUGUGUCUCCUUGUGUCCUUGGGUGACUUUAAAGGUAGGUACUUGACAGAAUGAACUGUUGUUAUAUUUCUAGUGCAGUAUUAUGAUAACAUUAUUUAGACAGGAAGACGGCCAUCUUGCUUUGCGAAGGUGUUUAAACGUCUCUUACCGGGUCUUGUUCUCUGUGGGCCUGCCUCACCGAUCUGGUUGUGAUGUCAUAUCACACGAGGAAGUCCAUACAUGGUCCUGCCUCCAGAGCGGUUUAACCAGCACAGAGAGCAGUUGGUCUCCAGUCUACUAUGGAUGAGGAGAGAGGGGAGGGGGGUCCUACCUCUAAGACCACUCUGUCUGGGGAACAUGGCCGCCGGAGCAAAGCCAAAAGCCCAGAGAAACAGGAUAGAGCAGAUAGCGUCUCCGCGUGACCGCUCUAUGGAACAACCUCAUAACUUUAAAGACGGAAAUCCGUCUAUUGAAAAAAGAGUCCAGCAGCAGAGAGCAGACUCCCCUGGACCCAGAUGUGUCUCCAUGAAGAGUGACAGCUCUAUGGAUCCUCCUGUUGGGUUUAAAGAUGGAAAUCAGUCUAUUGAGAAGAGAGUCCAGAAGGAGAGAGCAGACUCCCCUGGACCCAUUUGUGUCUCCAUGAAGAGUGACCACUCUAUGGAUCAUCCUGGCCAGUUUAAAGAUGGAAAUCAGUCUAUUGAGAAGAU